rnacentral:rRNA from 1 species
UAUACAGGGAACACUGAAGAUUGCGAUGACAUGGUAGAUGCUUUUACAACAGACAACAUUGUUCCUGACCCAGAUGACUGUGUUUACCAGAAUAUACCAGAAAGUACUCACACGCUGGUGCCAAAGCCUGAUUGCAGGCAUUGCGGCGCAAAGAGGUUCCAGUAUGAGACAAAUGGAUUUUGUUGUCAGUCUGGAAAAAUUAAGUUAGCACAGUCAGAACCACCCUUGGAACUUCAGAUGAUGUACACAAGUUCAGAUAGUGAUGCUGUACAUUUUAGGGAUAACAUUCGCUACUUCAAUGGCCACUUUUCAUUCACCACCCUUGGCGCUAGUCUUGACAAUAGAUACACAAACAUGAGGUCAGGAGUCUAUACAUUCCGAGCCCAUGGUCAGAUUUAC